AACGAACGCUGGCGGCAUGCCUAACACAUGCAAGUCGAACGAGACCUUCGGGUCUAGUGGCGCCACGGGUGCGUAACGCGUGGGAAUCUGCCCUUGGGUUCGGAAUAACUCAGAGAAAUUUGAGCUAAUACCGGAUGAUGACGAAAAGUCCAAAGAUUUAAUCGCCCAGGGAUGAGCCCGCGUAAGAUUAGCUUGUUGGUGGGGUAAUGGCCUACCAAGGCGACGAUCUUUAGCUGGUCUGAGAGGAUGAUCAGCCACACUGGGACUGAGACACGGCCCAGACUCCUACGGGAGGCAGCAGUGGGGAAUAUUGGACAAUGGGCGCAAGCCUGAUCCAGCAAUGCCGCGUGAGUGAUG
rnacentral:rRNA from 1 species